CUUAUUAAAAAUAUUUUUUCCUUUUUCUUUAGAUGGUACAGUGGCAAUACUGCCCGCAAGAGAAAUUGAGUCUCUGUCGGGUUUUGGAAAUCAAAACGCCAUCGAAGAUUCAUUCCACAAUGACACAAGAUUAUAGCUUCAGACUCCAUUCAAGAAUUUGAGUCUUUGCUUCAGACUACAACUUCAGACUUGCGAUAAAGAUUCAACAAAGGGAGAAGAGCAAGGGAGAGACAGCAGGAGAAUAAAACUGAAGUUUCACUCAAUUUCUAGAUAAGUUAACCAUUUCAAAUUCAUAUCCCUUGUGUUGUUGUUCUUCGUCUUACUUGUUGCAAAUUUCUCAUCAAAACCCUUGUUAUAUGUUGCUGCACUAGCAAAAACUUGUUUAAUUUCAUCACUAGCCCUCAAUUUAUGACUUCCCACAACAAAAAAUCUAAAGAUAACCCCUUUAUAUUGCAUAGGUACUAUUUAGAUGGAGAUAACAAAUCCAAGAAAUAUUUUGCUUUACACCCAGAUAAUGGAAUUUCUGAAUGUAAUUUGAUCUUUCAAGAAAUACCCUUUAAAUUUGGUUGUGCUAGUUACUGUUUCAAAAUUGUGGGUUCUUGUAAUGGGGUUGUUUGUUUGUCUAAUGACAUUAAUACAUACACCAAUGUCAUAUAUCUAUGGAACCCUAGUAUAAGAAAAGCAAUUGAAGUCCCUUUGUCCUAAUUUGACAUUCUUUGCGUGUGGCCUAUAUGACAUGUGUGUUGGAUUUGGGUUUGAUGAGCUGAAUAGUGACUACGAGGUGAUUCGUCUAGUUUACCUUGAUAAUGAUCGGGAGCCAAAUCAGCUUCCUCCGCUUGUUGAGAUAUGCACGGUUAGUUCUGGACUGUGUUGAAGCAUCAUUGCUUCUCGUCCUAUAUACUUUUUUUUUUUUUUUAAUUAGGAAAUUAAGUCAGCCCAAAGGCUAACCCCUACAAGGCUACUAGCCUGUAGGAAACACCAAUACAUUGGCUGGUAAGGCAUGCUAAGGAAAUACCCCAACAUAAUGAUGGGGGUAAGGAUCGAACCCCUGACCUCAGGAGCCAAGGGGGAGUGCUCUACCCACUUGAGCUAACUCCUAUCCUUAAUCUCGUCCUAUAUACUAUGUUCUCUAUGUUUUAGUUUAUCUGUUGAUCGAAACACUUAUUCGCAAUGUUAUUUGAAUGGGUAUGUGCAUUGGCCGGGAUCCGUUAUCCAACCUAAGGAAGAUGGGAGUUGUUUGGAGAAAGUUCGGAAAAUUAUUGUGACCUUCAAUGUACGAGAUGAGUUCUUUGGUGAAAAUGAAGUUGCCGGCUUGUUUUGAGGGCUCUAAUACUCAGUUGAGUAGAUUGAUGAUCACAACUUGCUGCGAUAUGCUUGCUCUAAUAGUAAUGUCAGAUGACGAUUGUGGGUUUGCCUUAUGGUUGAUGAAACAAUAUGGCAAUGAGGAUUCUUAGACUGAAUCUUUCAGGUGCUAGAAACCCUUGACGGGCCACCUAGAGGAUUAUAUUUGGGAUCAUACAACGAAGCUCUGGCACUAAACAAUGAAGGAAAAGCUAUUUUGGAUUAUGAGGUCAAAUAUGAUCCUAUCUGUCAUCAAUUGACAAUUCCUUCCUGCACAUCUCCUGAAGAUUUUGGAUUUUGUAAUUUAGAAUGAUUAGAUUGUGUGCUUGCUUGUGGCAAUGGAAGUUUACAACCAUCAAUUCUUUUGUGUUCUUGUGA